UACGAAGGGGGCUAGCGUUGUUCGGAAUUACUGGGCGUAAAGGGCGCGUAGGCGGUCUGUCAAGUUAGGUGUGAAAGCCCUGGGCUCAACCCAGGAACUGCAUUUAAGACUGGCAGGCUAGAGAUCUAGAGGGGAUAGUGGAAUUCCAAGUGUAGAGGUGAAAUUCGUAGAUAUUUGGAGGAACACCAGUGGCGAAGGCGACUAUCUGGCUAGAAUCUGACGCUGAGGCGCGAUAGCGUGGGGAGCAAAC
rnacentral:rRNA from 1 species